GACGAACGCUGGCGGCGUGCCUAACACAUGCAAGUCGAGCGGGAAGCUUUUUGAUUGGAUUCGUCCGAACAGAAAGCUGAGAGCGGCAGACGGGUGAGUAACGCGUGAGCAACCUGCCCAUAAGAGGGGGAUAACAACCGGAAACGGUUGCUAAUACCGCAUAUUAUGCAAACUUCGCCUGAAGUUUUCAUGAAAGAUUUUAUCGCUUAUGGAUGGGCUCGCGUCCAAUUAGCUAGUAGGCGGGGUAACGGCCCACCUAGGCGACGAUUGGUAGCCGAACUGAGAGGUUGAUCGGCCACAUUGGGACUGAGACACGGCCCAGACUCCUACGGGAGGCAGCAGUGGGGGAUAUUGCGCAAUGGGGGCAACCCUGACGCAGCAACGCCGCGUGAAGGACGAAGGCUUUCGGGUCGUAAACUUUUGUCAUAGGGGACGAUAAUGACGGUACCCUAUGAGGAAGCCACGGCUAACUACGUG
rnacentral:rRNA from 1 species